GACGAACGCUGGCGGCGUGCUUAACACAUGCAAGUCGAACGGAAAGGCCUGCUUUCCCUUGUGGAUUGCGGGUACUCGAGUGGCGAACGGGUGAGUAACACGUGAGUGAUCUGCCCCCAACUUGGGUAUAAGCCUGGGAAACUGGGUCUAAUUCCCGAUAGGACUGCAGGGUGGUGCCUGUGGUGGAAAACGAUUUCCUAGUGGUUGGGGAUGAGCUCGCGGCCUAUCAGCUUGUUGGUGGGGUAAUGGCCUACCAAGGCGGCGACGGGUAGCCGGCCUGAGAGGGUGGACGGCCACAUUGGGACUGAGAUACGGCCCAGACUCCUACGGGAGGCAGCAGUGGGGAAUAUUGCACAAUGGGCGGAAGCCUGAUGCAGCGACGCCGCGUGGGGGAUGACGGCCUUCGGGUUGUAAACUCCUUUCGACCGCGAGGAAGCCACCUGGUUGGAAGGGUGGUGACGGUAGUGGUAGAAGAAGCACCGGCUAACUACGUG
rnacentral:rRNA from 1 species